GUGGCUGCUGGUCACCUCCUCAUAUUUAGCCUGAGGUGGCUACUGGUCACCUCCCACAGAGGUUCCGUUUGGGAUGGGUGAUUCUCGAUUUAGGGAUGAUUCUCUGAAGGGAAAGGAAUUGAGAGGGGUGAUUCUCGAUUUGGGGGAUUUGAAAUGAUUCAUGGAGCAACAACAACAUGUAGGUGUCGGAGACAGGAAGGGCCGUCAUGGCGGAGAUGAAGAAGCUGCUGGCGAGAUAUGAAAGUUUGGAAGAUGCCGGCAGACUUGGAGGAGGAGGUAAGGAAAGCAAAUAUGAAAGUUUAGGAUGAGGAAGUCAUCGACUUUUUUGUAUUUUUUUUGUUUAUGGUUUUCCAAGUUUCAGUUUUUGAAUCCAAAUAGGCGCCAUGUCAGUUCGAUACUACUGCGUAGGUGCCAUGUCAGCUGAGCUCGGUACUCACCGGAGCUCAAAACUGUGGAAAAAUUGAACAACGCUUUAAAUUG
rnacentral:lncRNA from 1 species